rnacentral:SRP_RNA from 1 species
UCGUGCUAGAUGGGGAGUUAGCGGUGCCCUGUACCUGCAAUCCGCUACAGCAGGAUUGAAUUCCUUGCUUAGGCUUCAAAUUGUAAGGCUGGCCUGUAAAAGUGGCGUUGAGAACUGGGUCCCACGCAAUGGAAACUCAUGAACCCCGUCAGGUCCGGAAGGAAGCAGCGGUAAGUGAUAAUUUUCGUGUGCCGUGGAAAAACCUAGUUUGAGCUAACUAUACAGGUAACGCUUAUGAUUUGUUAGACGAAGCAAGGUGCACGA